GAUGAACGCCGGCGGCGUGCCUAAUACAUGCAAGUCGAGCGAACAGACGAGGAGCUUGCUCCUCUGACGUUAGCGGCGGACGGGUGAGUAACACGUGGAUAACCUACCUAUAAGACUGGGAUAACUUCGGGAAACCGGAGCUAAUACCGGAUAAUAUAUUGAACCGCAUGGUUCAAUAGUGAAAGACGGUUUUGCUGUCACUUAUAGAUGGAUCCGCGCCGCAUUAGCUAGUUGGUAAGGUAACGGCUUACCAAGGCAACGAUGCGUAGCCGACCUGAGAGGGUCAUCGGCCACACUGGAACUGAGACACGGUCCAGACUCCUACGGUAGGCAGCAGUCGGGAAUCUUCCGCGAUGGGCGAAAGCCUGACGGAGCAACGCCGCGUGAGUGAUGAAGGUCUUCGGAUCGUAAAACUCUGUUAUUAGGAAAGAACAAAUGUGUAAGUAACUAUGCACGUAUUGACGGUACCUAAUCAGAAAGCCACGGCUAACUACGUG
rnacentral:rRNA from 1 species